AUUCCAGCUCCAAUGGCGUAUAUUAAAGUUGUUGCGGUUAAAAAGCUCGUAGUUGGAUUUCUGUCGGUGAAUAUCAGUCCGCCCACAGCGGUAGGUACGUGAUAUUUCACCGGCAUCUUCCUGGGGAAUGUGUCUGCUCUUUAUUGAGUGGUACAUAAGCCAGGACUUUUACUUUGAAGAAAUGAGAGUGUUUCAAGCAGGCAUGCGCCGUGAAUACGUUAGCAUGGGAUAAUAGCAUCGGACCUCGUUCCAAAGCUGUUGGUUUCUUGGACCGAGGUAAAGGUGAAUAGGGAUUGUUGGGGGCAUUCGUAUUUGACUGUCAGAGGUGAAAUUCUUGGAUUUGUUGAAGACGGACUACUGCGAAAGCAUCUGCCAAAGAUGUUCUCAUUA
rnacentral:rRNA from 1 species